UUACACAAAUAUGAAGGCGGGCUGGAACCUCUCGGGGUUACAGCCUUGCUGAAUUAUUCACCCUUGUCUUUUGCGUACUUCUUGUUUCCUUGGUGGGUUCGCCCACCACUAGGACAAACAUAAACCUUUUGUAAUUGCAAUCAGCGUCAGUAACAAAUUAAUAAUUACAACUUUCAACAACGGAUCUCUUGGUUCUGGCAUCGAUGAAGAACGCAGCGAAAUGCGAUAAGUAGUGUGAAUUGCAGAAUUCAGUGAAUCAUCGAAUCUUUGAACGCACAUUGCGCCCUUUGGUAUUCCAAAGGGCAUGCCUGUUCGAGCGUCAUUUGUACCCUCAAGCUUUGCUUGGUGUUGGGCGUCUUGUCUCUAGCUUUGCUGGAGACUCGCCUUAAAGUAAUUGGCAGCCGGCCUACUGGUUUCGGAGCGCAGCACAAGUCGCACUCUCUAUCAGCAAAGGUCUAGCAUCCAUUAAGCCUUUUUUUCAACUUUUGACCUCGGAUCAGGUAGGGAUACCCGCUGAACUUAAGCAUAUCAAUAAGCGGAGGAAAAGAAACCAACAGGGAUUGCCCUAGUAACGGCGAGUGAAGCGGCAACAGCUCAAAUUUGAAAUCUGGCUCUUUUAGAGUCCGAGUUGUAAUUUGCAGAGGGCGCUUUGGCUUUGGCAGCGGUCCAAGUUCCUUGGAACAGGACGUCACAGAGGGUGA
rnacentral:rRNA from 1 species